GACAGAGGGUGCAAACGUUGUUUGGAAUUACUGGGCGUAAAGCGCGUGUAGGCGGCCCUGCAAGUCGGGUGUGAAAUCCCACGGCUCAACCGUGGAAGUGCACUCGAAACUGCAGGGCUAGAGUCCUGGAGAGGAAGGUGGAAUGCUUGGUGUAGAGGUGAAAUUCGUAGAUAUCAAGCGGAACACCGGUGGCGAAGGCGGCCUUCUGGACAGUGACUGACGCUGAGACGCGAAAGCGUGGGGAGCAAACAGG
rnacentral:rRNA from 1 species